CUCUGUAGUAACAAGAACUUCCCUUUCUUUCCAUGGUUUUAGCAAAUUGACAUGGUAUAAUUGCACUUCCUUUCUUCUACCUGGUUGCCUUACUUUAUAAUUUACCUCUCCCACUCUUUCAAUAAUCUCAUAUGGCCCAUGCCAAGUUGCCAGGAAUUUGUUCUCUACUGUGGGAACCAGGACUAAUACUCUGUCUCCUGGUUGAAAUACUCGAA